rnacentral:rRNA from 1 species
AGCAACGCCGCGUGAGUGAAGAAGGUUUUCGGAUCGUAAAGCUCUGUUGUAAGAGAAGAACGUGUGUGAGAGUGGAAAGUUCACACAGUGACGGUAACUUACCAGAAAGGGACGGCUAACUACGUGCCAGCAGCCGCGGUAAUACGUAGGUCCCGAGCGUUGUCCGGAUUUAUUGGGCGUAAAGCGAGCGCAGGCGGUUUAAUAAGUCUGAAGUUAAAGGCAGUGGCUUAACCAUUGUUCGCUUUGGAAACUGUUAAACUUGAGUGCAGAAGGGGAGAGUGGAAUUCCAUGUGUAGCGGUGAAAUGCGUAGAUAUAUGGAGGAA